rnacentral:rRNA from 1 species
AGUGUUUGAUCCUGGCUCAGAACGAACGCUGGCGGCGUGCCUAACACAUGCAAGUCAAACGGGUGGUAUCACCAGUGGCGCACGGGUGAGUAAUGCAUGGGUCAUCUGCCUCGUAGAGGGGGAUAACUACGCGAAAGUGUAGCUAAUACCGCAUACGCAGGGAACUGCAAAGGAGGGGAUCGCAAGACCUUCCGCUACGAGAUGAGCUCAUGUCCCAUUAGCUAGUUGGCGGGGUAACAGCCCACCAAGGCUUAGAUGGGUAGCUGGUCUGAGAGGACGAUCAGCCACACUGGAACUGAGACACGGUCCAGACUCCUACGGGAGGCAGCAGUGGGGAAUAUUGCGCAAUGGGCGAAAGCCUGACGCAGCAACGCCGCGUGAGUGAUGAAGGCCUUCGGGUUGUAAAGCUCUUUCGGUUGGGAAGAAGGGUGUGCGUACUAAUAAUGCGUACAUUUGAUGGUACCAAAAGAAGAAGCACCGGCUAACUUCGUGCCAGCAGCCGCGGUAAUACGAAGGGUGCAAGCGUUGUUCGGAAUGACUGGGCGUAAAGGGUUCGUAGGCGGGAGUGCAAGUCAAGUGUGAAAUCCCCGGGCUUAACCUGGGACGUGCACUUGAAACUGCAUUUCUUGAGUCGAGGAGAGGGUAAUGGAAUUGCUGGUGUAGGAGUGACAUCCGUAGAGAUCAGCAGGAACACCGGAGGCGAAGGCGAUUACCUGGCCGAAGACUGACGCUGAGGAACGAAAGCGUGGGGAGCAAACAGGAUUAGAUACCCUGGUAGUCCACGCCGUAAACGAUGAUAACUAGAUGUUGCGGGAAUUGACCCCUGCAGUAUCGCAGCUCACGCAUUAAGUUAUCCGCCUGGGGAGUACGGCCGCAAGGCUAAAACUCAAAGGAAUUGACGGGGGUAUCGUGACUGGGA